rnacentral:misc_RNA from 1 species
GCAAACUUGGUCAUUUAGAGGAAGUAAAAGUCGUAACAAGGUUUCCGUAGGUGAACCUGCGGAAGGAUCAUUAAAGCGUGGUCUUUGACCUAGCAUUACUUUGCGCGCGGGUGGCUUCGGCCCCUGCCGCUUAGUUCAACCUCCUGUGAAUCAAAAACCUUACCUUCGCUUCGGCAGCAGGGACGGCCCUCGGGCUCAACUGUCAGCCUGCCGACGGCACCAAUUUACAACUUGCCUUUGUGAUUUGUGUCUGAACAUUCUAAAUUUUUGAAUGAAAAUCAAAACUUUCAACAACGGAUCUCUUGGUUCUCGCAUCGAUGAAGAACGCAGC